rnacentral:lncRNA from 1 species
UUAAAGAAUGGAACAUGCAAAAAAUAAAAAUAAAAAUAAAAAUAAAAUAAAAUAAAAAUUGGAGGUAUAGUGAGUGAAUAAGAGGUGUAAUGUGUAAUAUAUUAAUAUAUAUGUGAAUUACAUAAACAACGCUAUUUUAGAAAUUUAAAAGGAGGUUUAAUGAGCAAAUGCUUGUAUUUAAAAGUAAAAUAGACGUGUAGAGAGAAUGAGAUGUAUACUGAGUAAAUUUAGAGGUCCCAAUAACCGCAUUCUUCCGAUGAUUGCUAAAACCAAUCAAGUUUUUAGUUUAUAUAUUGGAAGUAUGGAAACGAAAAGACAAGAACAACCUCAAAUCAAUAUAUUAGUUCGGACGUUUCUAAUUAGCUAGUUCUAUGAAAAAAAUUGGUAUCAAAUCGGAAUUAAUUAAAAGUAGGAUCAUUUGGCAUGGUUUCGAUUUUUUUCAUGAACCGACACGAACUUGAGCCUAGCUAGUUGACAUUUAGCAUAUGGUUUUGUACACAGCACAUAUAGACGCCGGGAUCUGUUCCCAAUCCUUCCCAGCUCACAGAUCAUAGAACUAAUUAAUACAUCGAUCAG